GCUCGCUUAGCUCAGUCGGCAGAGCGACGUGCUAAUAACGCGUAGGUCCCAGGUUCGAUCCCUGUAGUGAGCA
rnacentral:tRNA from 1 species